GCGGCCUUUAUUUCCUCUUUGCACAGCUCUUCCCAGCUCACUAAACACCCACAACCGUCACUGGAGUCCUGGCCAACCAGUGCACACACCCAGCUCAGGGACCAGCUCCCCUGGCCCAUGGUGCUCCUGCUGGGAACACAGCCACGCUGGCGCUCGAGCAGGCGACAGAUGUCCCUGGUGGCCGCUCUCAGCCUGCCCCGUGUCCCUGGCCCUGAGGGCACCACUCCCACGGCUCCGGGAAUCUCUGCUGGGUCAGGGUGGAGGCUGUUCACGGCUCCUGGACCAGUUCAGAGCUCAAUCCCCCUCCACAGCUCCAGCAGCAGGCGAGCCCCCGUCCUCAUAGCUCCUGGGCCGGAGCCACCUGGGCCAGCACCUGUGCCCACCCCUGGCUCCUGGUCUACUUGAGGAAGACGAGCAGGAAGAAGACAGAAAUGAUGAGGAUGAGGAUGCCCAUGGCGAAACACAGGCGCAGGUUCUCCACCGAGAUGGGGGGCUGAGCGUCUGCGGGCGCCGCUCGGCCUGGGAGCCCCACCAAGAAGGCAUUCUGCACCUCCUGCACGUGGAGUCCAUUCCAGGUCCGUGGGCUGCCAGGGACGGACAGGCUGUACGGGGUGACCACGCCGCUGAUGGUGAAGACGGACGAACGGGUCACGUAGUUAAACUCCACGUCCAGGGACAGAGAGGAGAUGCUUGUGGAGCACUCUGAGGUGCUGGGGGACGCCUCCUCCUCCUCCUCUUGCUCUUCCUCCUUUGAGGCUGAGUUGCCCAUUGCGGGGAGCCCAGGGCCGCACUGGGCCGCCGUCUCCCGCAGAAUGGCCUCGUUGUUCGGCAGGGCCUGGGGGCCCUGGUCAGGCACCAGGGUCACCGUCCUGCAGAAGGGGCAGACCACGAAGGAGACAGCCUGGGCCUGGCAGACCAGCUUCCGGAGGCAGUUUCGAUCCGCUCUGGACAGGAGACAGGCAGCAUUUGCGGCAUGGUUAGUGCUGUUUCGUUUCCAGACGUGUUAUUCCGAAGACCACACCUACAGGACGGACACAGAGCAGCACAACAAAGGGCGUUCCAGAAAAACCUGGCGUGCACGUUUGGCCCUUUGCUCUUCCAUGUUUAUUCCCUACUUUGACUUUACACAGCUUCUGCUCGAGAUGUUUUACAUUAAUCCUCGAAGAUGUGUUCACACGGUUUACAGGCGUGUUAGUGAAAUGUGGCUACUUCUCCCGCUUUUACUCACGUGAGCACAGCUGCGCCUGGGGCCGUGAGUCUCUGCUCUCAGUCAGGUUUGGACUCUGCACUGCGUGAAUUACAAGAAGCUAUUCUGUGGUUAAAGCAACACUUUCCAGUUUUGCUCAGAGGACCCAGACCAGACACAGGCAGUCUCCACCGCUCUAUUAAUUUCCGUGGAAGUGUUUGUUUUUAAACCAAUUUGUUCCCUCCCCUUGUGGCAGUAUUUGCACCUCAGGGCUGUGUACAGGACAGAACCUGGGAGUGAAGUGACUGGAAAACGAAUGGCAACAAGCCUGAAACGUCCCAGCUGAGUGAAAAGCAGGAGUGAUCAGGCAGACCACAAAGAAUGAAAAUCGGAUUGAAAAGUUAAGCUACAGUGUUUUGAAUAAGCCAGUUACCCAGACACCCUCCCUUGUAACUUAGCAGCACCUCUUCAAUGUGAGUUCGAGUUAUUUACCAUCCGGCCACCAAGAGAAAAAAGGCCAGUGACUGCCCAGAGCAACGUCGUCGUCUGUGUGGACAGGGAGCCCGUGCACAUCUCGUCUGUAUUGCUUUGUGGCUCUUAUUGCCAAUGGCAAGGUGCACCCCAGCCAGCCUCCCGGUCCUCACCUGCCUCAGAUGCCAUCCCCACAGUGACCGAAAGAGGCCGUGGGGUGAGCAGGCUCUGUGGGCCCAGAAGUGCCCUGGGGGGCUGUUGAGGAGCACUGCCAGGGGUCAGGGGACACAAUGGUUUCCUUGCGUCAGGCUUUGCAGUGAGGAUAGGGAGGUGAAAUCUGAUCGGUGCUACACCCAAGUUGAAACCAUUCAGCGUUAGCUGCACGUGCAUCUCAUUGGGACACGGGACCGGACGCUCGGGAAGCGUCAGGCUGCCCCUUUUCAGCCUGUGGUUUGGACAGGCUCCCAGCAUUCGGGGGGCUCAGAAAGGCGAUCAUCCACCCUUGGUCCUGCACUGACCGGCACGCUCCCUCCGUGUGGGCUGCGCUCAGGACGUGCUGGACGCACGAGAACAUACGGUAACGUUCAGCGUCACUCACUCUGGGGGCUGUGAAGGGGAUUUAACAUCUCAACAGUGAACACUUUUUGGUAAAGCACUUUUAGAAGCUGCGUUUCUAUAUUCAAUGAAGUACUCGCUGCCCCGGCGCACUGUUCUCCGCCUCUGACAGUCCAUGGUGUUGGGACACAGACAGCCCUUUGCUCCAGCGGCCCAUCCGUGGGCAACACUCCAAGCCGGCAUUUCCUCGCCAGGCUUGUGUGUGGUCAGCGAACACCCCCAUUAACCUCCUUCCCACCGGCAUCGUUCGGGAGCACGCUCGUGACGGCUGGAUGUGAAGCCGAAGAGGUGGGUCCAGAAGUGUCUGCAGUCAAGGGGAGUCGACAUCCCACAGAUGUUGGGAGUUCCAUGUCUAUUUUAGUAUCAGUGUCAGUGGGAGAGGGAGCAGUUUUCUCUGGCCUGGGUUUCGUCGCUGUGUCUCCUGCCAGACUUACUUUUUCCAGAGUUCGUACUUACAUCAGGCCCAGAUUAACGAAUCAAGAGCUCACACAAAAGGACAGCAACAGAGCAUGCAGGAGGCGCGGCCGGCUGUGUCAGCUAGGCCAGCGAGAUGGGGUCCGUCUGCACAGCGGUGCAGAUACUUCCUUCCAGCCCCAGGCCGCUUAAAACCCACGGAGCUUGGAGGGUGAGUCCCAGAGCUGUUCCACUGCCCUCCUAUGGAAAUGCAGCUGGUGAGUGCAAAAUAUGCUCGAGAAAAGGCCAUGUGUCCAAAGGAGAAGCUCACAUUUGCUUGCCACGUCCAAAUCAUCUUCCAGUUCUUCAUCCCAGCCAAUCCAGGUCCUCAUCGUCAUCGUCCUCCCCGAAGAGCGGGGUCGGAGGCGGGCGGCCUUUCAUGCUCUGAAAGCCCAAUGAGACAGCAGAGUGAAGUCACGAAAGCCGAGCAGUCCCUGAGCUACUGGGGCUCUGUGGACCACGAGUCUCCGUAGUCUCGGGAGACGGCACCAGGACACCUCCCAGCCCAUUUCCU
ensembl:lncRNA